AGGACACGGGCGAGACCAGGCUAGGUGGGGCGGGUGGGGUGGCGUGAAUGUGCACUCUAGGGGGAAGGGAGGCCAGGGCAGAGGCAGGGGCGAGGGGCCAGAGCCGGGCACCGAGCCAGUGGGAGGGGCAUUGGACUUCGAGCUCGUGGCCAAGGCGGGCCUCUGCGGGCGAUGACGGAGCGGGAUCGGUGCCUCUGAGCUCGGAACGGAGACGGAGCCACGUCUCCAGUGGGGUGUUGGUGCCUGCCAGCCACGGAGGCCAGGCGGCCAGGACGCGCACAGAGGGAUAUGAUAUGGUCCGGUGUGAUGGAGAGAGCAGGCGGGACCGUCCAGCCUCCCAGGACACUGGCCCCGCGGGGAGCCCGGAUAUCGACGUUCCUUUAGUCUCCUGA
rnacentral:lncRNA from 1 species